rnacentral:rRNA from 1 species
UACGUAGGGUGCAAGCGUUGUCCGGAAUUAUUGGGCGUAAAGAGCGUGUAGGCGGUUCGGUAGGUCCGUUGUGAAAACUCGAGGCUCAACCUCGAGACGCCGAUGGAAACCCUCGAACUAGAGUCCGGAAGAGGAGAAUGGAAUUCCUGGUGUAGCGGUGAAAUGCGCAGAUAUCAGGAAGAACACCCGUGGCUAAGGCGGUUCUCUAGUACGGUACUGACGCUGAGACGCGAAAGCGUGGGGAGCGAACAGG